GGAAAUGACCAGCCCCUCCCCCUUGCUGGCGGGAAAGCAUGGCGUCUGCUCCUCUCUUGGAGCUGAUGAGCACUCGAAUGGGAACCCUUUCUCUGCCUUCUGGUGGCACUUUGUUUUGUUCUUCACUGUCAGGAAACAAGAAAAGCGCCCCCUGGACCUAACACCCCCUACUCCGGAUCUUCCCACUCAGGUCUCAGAUACCAUCCUGCCUGUCCCAGAUUCCCACUGUUGUGAAAUCAACAGGAAGCCCUGCCAGAAAUCAAAUCUUCGCUGGAUGGACAGUCAAAAGGCUCCAGCUGCCAUGAAUUUCAGAGCAGAGGUAAAGGUUGAAGAAUUUGACUGA
rnacentral:lncRNA from 1 species